rnacentral:lncRNA from 1 species
GGGGACGCAGCCUCUUCCCCGCUCCCCGGCUCCGGGAAGAGACGCGACCCAGGCGGGGACCCGGCGCUGAGCGAGGAGGCGCUGGGGCUGCGAAGCGUGCGACCCCGAGGCCUCCACCCGGACCGGGGCCACCACUCAGGCGGCGGCGCCGGCGCCGGAUCCAGCCCGAGCCCCGCGCAGCCCAAAGGAUACGACAGCCCCGGCCGAGGGGCGGCCGAGGUGGCCCAGAACAAUCUGCAGACGGGCGGCGGCGCGAGGCUGCUCCAUGGCUGCGGCGCGGGGAACCCCCACCCCUCCCGGCCUCUGCCCCAUUUAGCCCAGCGGGCGGCUCCGCCUCCAGGCGCCGCCCCGGACUGGACCUUCGAGUUACUUCCAGAACGUCGCAGCACACGUUAUCACUUCCUGCAUGACGUCUUUAUAGAAUUUGGUGACAAUGUCGCAGUCCAGGAGGGAGGCCUGCAGCCAGCAUCACCAGCCCCUUCCUGUUUGCACAGGCAGGGAGGAGAACCGCAGCUCCCGGGCUUCCCCUGGGGAGUCCCUCCGGCUUUCUCCGGGAUUCCGCCCGCCCCAGGGUCUCAGACCAACAGAAGGACCCGGGAUCCCUCAGCAGCUCCGGACCUCAUCUGCCCCACUUCGGCAUCCCGCGCGGGAAUAUGACCAUGUAGGAGUAACCCGGGGCUCUCAAGGACUCUACAGUUUGUCACGGUUUGAACGCAAGCGCAGGGCCUGGAGCGGGUGCAGGUGGAGGGUCGGCCUCUUUCUGCCCUUGGGAACGCCCCUUUCUGGAUGUGGACCGGCGAGGCGGUCUCUCCUUUCUGCCCUCGCCUGGUGAAAUGUGGGCACUGCUGCCAGGAG